rnacentral:rRNA from 1 species
AUGCCUAGGAAUCUGCCUGGUAGUGGGGGAUAACGUCCGGAAACGGGCGCUAAUACCGCAUACGUCCUGAGGGAGAAAGUGGGGGAUCUUCGGACCUCACGCUAUCAGAUGAGCCUAGGUCGGAUUAGCUAGUUGGUGGGGUAAAGGCCUACCAAGGCGACGAUCCGUAACUGGUCUGAGAGGAUGAUCAGUCACACUGGAACUGAGACACGGUCCAGACUCCUACGGGAGGCAGCAGUGGGGAAUAUUGGACAAUGGGCGAAAGCCUGAUCCAGCCAUGCCGCGUGUGUGAAGAAGGUCUUCGGAUUGUAAAGCACUUUAAGUUGGGAGGAAGGGCAGUAAGUUAAUACCUUGCUGUUUUGACGUUACCAACAGAAUAAGCACCGGCUAACUUCGUGCCAGCAGCCGCGGUAAUACGAAGGGUGCAAGCGUUAAUCGGAAUUACUGGGCGUAAAGCGCGCGUAGGUGGUUCAGCAAGUUGGAUGUGAAAUCCCCGGGCUCAACCUGGGAACUGCAUCCAAAACUACUGAGCUAGAGUACGGUAGAGGGUGGUGGAAUUUCCUGUGUAGCGGUGAAAUGCGUA